rnacentral:ncRNA from 1 species
CAUCUGGCGAUGAGGGGAAGUAGUAGCGCGUUUCGGCGCACAGCGAGCCGGGGACAGGUGUGAGCCCGGCGCGAGCAGAGCGCGCGAACUCGUCCCUGAGCCGUCGGGGUGAAGCCGGUAGGUCUAGCUCCGACCGGGUCGCGUCCGUUAGCACGCGCAGAGUGGGCACCGCUCCGAGCGGGAGCAGUGCCAAGUAGGGUGGUACCGCGGGUGAAGCCCGUCCCUUCA